CAGCCGCCGCGGGAAUACGAAGGGUGCAAGCGUUACUCGGAAUUACUGGGCGUAAAGCGUGCGUAGGUGGUGGUUUAAGUCCGUUGUGAAAGCCCUGGGCUCAACCUGGGAAUUGCAGUGGAUACUGGAUCACUAGAGUGUGGUAGAGGAUAGUGGAAUUCCCGGUGUAGCGGUGAAAUGCGUAGAGAUCGGGAGGAACAUCAGUGGCGAAGGCGGCCAUCUGGGACAACACUGACGCUGAGGCACGAAAGCGUGGGGAGCAAACAGGAUUAGAUACCCCGGUAGUCCCUGUCUCUUAUAC
rnacentral:rRNA from 1 species